AAAAAUAUUUUUUUUAAUGAAACUAUAAUAUAAAAUCUAGCUGGUUAAAUAAAUAAUUUAUAUUUCUGAUUAAUUUUUCUCGCUAAACUAAUACCUGUCUCUCAUUCUUAUCUGUCUGACUUAAAUCUUAACACUUACACACUAUUUUACACUUGCUCAUAACUCAUAACAAUUCGCGUGCCUAAAGCCAAAAGGGUGUAUUACAGCAGUUAGAUAGGGUUUUAUGCCAAAAGGGCGUAUAAAAAAAUUUUUUUUUGCCAUUCUUUUUAGAAUCGCUCGAAACGUAAAGAUCUACAGAAAAAAAAAUUUUAACGUACUAACGCCAAAAGGGCGUAUAAAAAAAAAUCAGGAUUUUUCAAAAUUUCGAAAAAUAGUCUUCAAAAUUGUCCGGAGAAGGUUCGUA